rnacentral:rRNA from 1 species
CGUAGGUGGCAAGCGUUGUCCGGAUUUAUUGGGUUUAAAGGGUGCGUAGGCGGCCCCGUAAGUCAGUGGUGAAGUAUCUCAGCUUAACUGAGAGGGUGCCAUUGAUACUGCGGGGCUUGAGUACAGAUGAGGUAGGCGGAAUUGACGGUGUAGCGGUGAAAUGCAUAGAUAUCGUCAAGAACUCCGAUAGCGAAGGCAGCUUACUAAGCUGUAACUGACGCUGAGGCACGAAAGUGUGGGGAUCAAACAGGAUUAGAUACCCUGGUAGUCCACACUGUAAACGUUGAUGACUCGAUGUUGGCGAUACACAGCCAGCGUCCAAGAGCAAUCGUUAAGUCAUCCACCUGGGGAGUACGCCGGCAACGGUG